rnacentral:tRNA from 1 species
GGGGCCUUAGCUCAGCUGGGAGAGCGCCUGCCUUGCACGCAGGAGGUCAGCGGUUCGAUCCCGCUAGUCUCCACCA